rnacentral:rRNA from 1 species
UAUAGUAGAGUCUGAUCUGCAUCAGAUGGACGCUGACGCAGCCUAGCCAUGCAGUCGAGCGAGAGUGUAGCUUGCACUGAUGUCAGCGGCGACGGGUGAGUAUGCUUAGGAUCUGCCUAGUAGUAGCGGGCUACAUUCGAAAGCAAUAGCUAUUCCCGCAUACGUCUUGCGAGAGAAACAGGGGAUCUUCGACCUGUGCUCAUAGAAGAUCCUCAGUUGGAAUAGCUAGUGGUGGGGUAAAGGCCUCCCAAGGCGGCGAUCUGUAACGGGUUUGAGGAGGAGAUCCACCCCCCUGGGACUGAGGCCCCGCCCCGGAUUCUUCGGGAAGCCACCGUGGGGGAUUUUUGCCCAUGGGGGCCAACCUGAUCCAACCCAUCCCGGGGGUAGAAGAAGGCCUUAUGGGUGUAAAACUCUUUUAACGAGGAGGAGACUACUUUAGUUUAUUCCCAGAGACAGUGGACGUUACUCGCAGAAUAAGCACCGGCUAACUCUGUGCCAGCAGCCGCGGUAAUACAGAGGGUGCAAGCGUUAAUCGGAUUUACUGGGCGUAAAGCGCGCGUAGGCGGUUAAUUAAGUCGAAUGUGAAAUCCCCGAGCUCAACUUGGGAAUUGCAUUCGAUACUGGCUAGCUAGAGUGUGGGAGAGGAGGGUAGAAUUCCAGGUGUAGCGGUGAAAUGCGUAGAGAUCUGGAGGAAUACCGAUGGCGAAGGCAGCCCUCUGGCCUAACACUGACGCUCAGGUGCGAAAGCAUGGGGAGCAAACAGGAUUAGAUACCCUGGUAGUCCACGCCGUAAACGAUGUCUACUAGGAGGUGGGGCCCUUGAGGCGUUAGUGCCGCAGCUAACGCGAUAAGUAGACCGCCGGGAGGCCGCCCCCG